rnacentral:rRNA from 1 species
GACGAACGCUGGCGGCGUGCCUAAUACAUGCAAGUAGGACGCAGUUGCGAACGUGUGAGUAACGCGUCGGUAACUGCCUAUUAGAGGGGGAUAACUAAUGGAAACGAUAGCUAAUACCGCAUACUAGUAGAUGGACCUGCGUUGUAUUAGCUAGUAGGUGGGGUAAUGGCCUACCUAGGCGAGGAUACAUAGCCGACCUGAGAGGAGGAUCGGCCACACUGGGACUGAGAAACGGCCCAGACUCCUACGGGAGGCAGCAGUAGGGAAUCUUCGGCAAUGGGGGGAACCCUGACCGAGCAACGCCGCGUGAGUGAAGAAGGUUUUCGGGUCGUAAAGCUCUGUUGAUAAGGAAGCGGUACUUAACCAGAAAGGGACGGCUAACUACGUGCCAGCCGCCGCGGUAAUUC